GACGAACCGUCCAAACGUUAUUCGGAAUCACUGGGCUUACAGAGUUCGUAGGCGGUCUGGAAAGUUGGGUGUGAAAUCCCUCGGCUCAACCGAGGAACUGCGCUCAAAACUACCCGACUCGAGGGAGAUAGAGGAAAGCGAAACUGAUGGUGGAGCGGUGAAAUGCGUUGAUAUCACCAGGAACACCGGUGGCGAAGGCGGCUUUCUGGGUCUUACCUGACGCUGAGGAACGAAAGCUAGGGGAGCGAACGGG
rnacentral:rRNA from 1 species